UACGUAGGGGGCAAGCGUUGUCCGGAUUUAUUGGGCGUAAAGAGCGUGUAGGCGGCUUGGUAGGUCUUGCGUCAAAACCUGAGGCUCAACCUCAGUUCGCGUGGGAAACCAUCUAGCUAGAGUCCGGAAGAGGAGAACGGAAUUCCCAGUGUAGCGGUGAAAUGCGCAGAUAUUGGGAAGAACACCAGUGGCGAAGGCGGUUCUCUGGGACGGUACUGACGCUGAGACGCGAAAGCGUGGGGAGCGAACAGGA
rnacentral:rRNA from 1 species